ACGGGGUUAUGAAAUUAUGUAAAGCAUCAUUGAUCUAUGGUAAACAACAACUGGAAACAGGAAGUUCAUUCAUCGAAUUUAUGCUGUGUUGUGUCACCGGCUUAUGAAGUCCGGUUGACAGGUAAUGUCAUUAGGAACCAAUUCUUCAUUUGAAGGGCUAUUUGAAUAAUAAAACAACACAAAAACAAAACACAGUGAUUCUGCAUUAAAAAUACACAAUGACAAAGACUAAUUAAACAAAUAUUUUGUACUUUUUCUGAAUAAAAUAUGUUUAGACCAAAUGCAUUGACAAAAAAAACAAAAAACGAACAGACCAUCAAAAAAAAAACAAGAAAAAGAAAGUAGCAAUCAAAAAAAAUAAAAAAUAAAGAAAUAAUAAGAAAAAGAAAAGAAACAACAAAAUAAACACGUAAUACAAGAAAAAACAAAAUACAAAAAAUAAAAGAAAUAAAGAUAAAAAGAAGCAAUAAAGCAAAAAGAAAAAAUACAAAAAGAAAAGUCAACAAAAAGCAAUAAAAAGAUAAGCAAAAAAACAAAAACAAAAGAAAAAAUACAAAAAAGCAAAAAUUAAAAAAUGAAAAUAGAAACAAGAAAAGAAAUAAAGAUAUGAAAAAGAUAAGAAACUAAUCAAAUGCAAAAUACAAAAGAAACACAAAAAUACAAAAUACAAAAAGAACAAAAGAAAAGAAAUACAGAUAAGAAAAGGAAAAAACUAACACAAAACAAGAAAAAAGAAAAAGCAACAAAAGAAAACAUAAAAAGAAGCAAAAGAAAAGAAGCUGUGGGUGGAUGCUUUAGGGUUGUUAGGGUGUUCUGUGCUUACUGGCUCCAGAGUGGAAUCGGUCUGAAAAGUAAGCUAUCAUUAUUAUUCAUAACCCCCUAAUGCCAAGUGUGAGCAAUGUUGGUAGUGACGUUUGACUCAGCAAUAACAUCUGAAUUUCUGAUACAUCUCUUCAUAUUUGAAACACGAGCAGAAAUCGUGGCAGGCUUUCUGCUGGAGAUUGAGUAAAACUCAAACGCAUCUCGAGCGCUCGUAAAUCUGAGAUUAGGUCAGGGAACCAUCCAGUUUAAUCCAAACACAAAUUAGGAGCUGACUUCUGUCCCACUGCGCCCAGAACAGGACGUCAGAUUUCUGUGGCACACCAAUCAUAGGGCUGGGUAAAACAAACUCGCAUUUAACAUCGCCUCUGGCAAACUGAACCACAUCUCUAACAAACUGUGACCCUGGAGCACAAAACCAGUUUUAAGUCGCUGGGGUAUAUUUGUAGCAAUAGCCAAAAAUAUUUUGUAUUGUAUGGGUCAAAAUUAUCGAUUUUUCUUUUAUGCCAAAAUCAUUAGGAUAUUAAAUAAAGAUCAUGUUCCGUGAAGAUAUUUUGUAAAUUUCCUACUGUAAAUAUAUAAACUUCAUUUUUGAUUAGUAAUAUGCAUUGCUAAGAACUUCAUUUGGACAACUUUAAAGGUGAUUUUCUCAGUAUUUAGAUUUUUUUGCACCCUCAGAUUCCAGAUUUUCAAAUAGUUGUAUCGCAGCCAAAUAUUGUCCUCCUAACAAACUGACUGGUUUUGUGCUCCAGGUUCACAAUUGGUUAGCUGUAUAUGACGGCUGAGCAUUGGGUUUUUAUAACAGUAUGUUAAUGAUUCUAUAAUAACAAAAAAUCAUAUUUUUGAACGAUUAAUAAAAUCUAUCUAUCUCUCUAUCUAUCUAUACAUCUAUCUAUCUCUCUAUCUAUCUAUACAUCUAUCUAUCUCUCUAUCUAUCUAUACACACAUUUUGAGUAAAUAAAUAUUAUUAACUGCGUUUAGAUUAAAUUGUGUGGAUAUCUACAGAACUAUAUAUCUAUAUUUUUUGUAUGUGCACAAAUACAAGAAAUACCAAAAAAAGCUAAAUAAAUAAAUAAAUAAACAAACUUAAAAUAGUCACUAACAUGGGAACAAAACCUAAACCAAUCACAGCAUGGCUGUUUGUCAUCUGUUAGAUGGGAAAUUCUCAUGUCACAAGUGGAAAUGUGCUAUUAUCUAACAGCUGAGGAGAUUCCGACAGAUCGGAUGAAGCGGAGAAGCCCCAUUCCCCCCCUUCCCCCCCAGAGACAGACGGCUCUGACUGGAGUACAGCUAGCGGAGCAGGGCAGUAUGUGGGGCUGGAGGGUCGAUAUUGCCCCUCCGGGCUCAUUUGUGUGCUGAAGAGCAGCUGGGCUGUUUAGCCAAGCCCUUUUCAAGUGAGGGCUAGCUGCUACACGUACAUACUGUACAAUAAUGCAUAUACACAAACAAACAUAAUGCUACAGCGACACGACUACUAACAGAUUCAGGAUGCCUACAUGCCUAGACUCAUGCUACAAACACACACACACACAUACACACACACACACACACACACACACGCACUUCAUAGUCUAUACCUUUUGAAAGCAGAAACUAUGACUAUGGCAUUUUUCUCAAAUGGUAGGGCAUGACCCAAAAAUGAAUCACUGAAUACAUAUUUAUAAAUAUAAUUUAUUUUCAUGAAAAAAAUUUUUAAUAUC
rnacentral:lncRNA from 1 species